rnacentral:lncRNA from 1 species
GCAAGAACAACUUGCAAAUGUUGAAUAUGUUGGUUUGAUUAAUUAUGCAGGCAAGACUGCAGUUCGUUAAUCCUUUUUCUCACGCUGAGGAUAACUAAGAAGUUUCCAAAGAGGAGUACAACUUAAAUCAGAAACUGGCAAAGAAAUAUGAAAAUGACAGAGGAUCAAGAAGAAGCCGAUCAAGAUAAGGAGGAAAAGGAUCAUGCCCAUGACUAAUAUGGUACAUACUGAACAUCCUUUGAUAUUGUUAUCUCAUCUAAUAACUUUAGAGGUGUACCAACUUUGUUCUUUCAAUUUCAUUCUAUCACAGGACUUAACAAUAUUGGUUGCUAGAUAG